rnacentral:rRNA from 1 species
AUUGAACGCUGGCGGCAGGCCUAACACAUGCAAGUCGAACGGUAACAGGAAGAAGCUUGCUUCUUUGCUGACGAGUGGCGGACGGGUGAGUAAUGUCUGGGAAACUGCCUGAUGGAGGGGGAUAACUACUGGAAACGGUAGCUAAUACCGCAUAAUGUCGCAAGACCAAAGAGGGGGACCUUCGGGCCUCUUGCCAUCGGAUGUGCCCAGAUGGGAUUAGCUAGUAGGUGGGGUAACGGCUCACCUAGGCGACGAUCCCUAGCUGGUCUGAGAGGAUGACCAGCCACAAUGGAACUGAGACACGGUCCAGACUCCUACGGGAGGCAGCAGUGGGGAAUAUUGCACAAUGGGCGCAAGCCUGAUGCAGCUAUGCCGCGUGUAUGAAGAAGGCCUUCGGGUUGUAAAGUACUUUCAGCGGGGAGGAAGGGAGUAAAGUUAAUACCUUUGCUCAUUGACGUUACCCGCAGAAGAAGCACCGGCUAACUCCGUG